CAAAUUAUUCUAAAAAGAAUUGGUGUUCAAACUUGUAAGCAGUUUUGAUUCGGAGACGACUAACAUAAAUGAUCUUAAACAUCAAUCUUAAUUUUUCUUUAACAUAUCGGUAAAAAUCAAUCGGACGGAUAUCGAAAUCUGAAUUCAGUUUACUCUAUAAAGAAAUAAUUGGAUUACUAAAAAAAUAUUAGCAGUUUGUAUAUGAACAAAGUGAUUUAAGAGUUUAUUUGUAGGUGUUUGCGAGGAGUGUGGUGCCAUAACAGUAAAUUAUUGCUAAUUAUAUUAUAUGAGGUGGGAGGUGAUCAGCCACUGCAACCAACCAUGAGCUAAGUAACCCAUUUCAUCCAUACCAAAGA